rnacentral:rRNA from 1 species
AUUGAACGCUGGCGGCAGGCCUAACACAUGCAAGUCGAGCGGAUGAAGGGUGCUUGCUCCUGGAUUCAGCGGCGGACGGGUGAGUAAUGCCUAGGAAUCUGCCUGGUAGUGGGGGAUAACGUCCGGAAACGGGCGCUAAUACCGCAUACGUCCUGAGGGAGGUAGUGGGGGAUCUUCGGACCUCACGCUAUCAGAUGAGCCUAGGUCGGAUUAGAUAGUUGGUGGGGUAAAGGCCUACCAAGGCGACGAUCCGUAACUGGUCUGAGAGGAUGAUCAGUCACACUAGAACUGAGACGCGGUCCAGACUACUACGGGAGGCAGCAGUGGGGAAUAUUGGACAAUGGGCGAAAGCAUGGUCCAGCCAUGCCGAGUGUGUGAAGAAGGUCUUCGGAUUGUAAAGCACUUUAAGUUGGGGGAAAGGGCAGUAAGUUGAUACCUUGCUGUUUUGACGUUACCAACAGAAGAAGCACCGGCUAACUUCGUG